rnacentral:rRNA from 1 species
GAUGAACGCUGACAGAAUGCUUAACACAUGCAAGUCAACUGUGGCGGACGGGUGAGUAACGCGUAAAGAACUUGCCUCGCAGAUAGGGACAACAUUUGGAAACGAAUGCUAAUCCCUGAUACUGUGAGAGAGCUUUGCGUCCCAUUAGCUAGUGGGAGGGGUAACGGCUCACCAAGGCGAUGAUGGGUCUCCGGCCUGAGCGGGUGAUCGGCCACAAGGGGAAUGAGACACUGCCCUUACUCCUACGGGAGGCAGCAGUGGGGAAUAUUGGACAAUGGACCAAAGUCUGAUCCAGCAAUUCGGUGUGAACGAUGAAGUUUUCGGAAUGUAAAGUGCUUUCAGUUGGGAAGCGGUACCAACAGAAGAAGUGACGGCUAAAUACGUGCCAGCAGCCGCGGUAAUAC